CUGGCUCAGAUGAACGCUGGCGGCGUGCUUAACACAUGCAAGUCGAACGCGAAAGGGACUUCGGUCCUGAGUAAAGUGGCGCACGGGUGAGUAACGCGUGGAUAAUCUGCCCUUAUGAUCGGGAUAACAGUUGGAAACGGCUGCUAAUACCGGAUACGCUCAAAAUGAACUUUUUGAGGAAAGAUGGCCUCUGCUUGCAUGCUAUCACGUAAGGAUGAGUCCGCGUCCCAUUAGCUUGUUGGCGGGGUAACGGCCCACCAAGGCAACGAUGGGUAGCCGAUUUGAGAGGAUGAUCGGCCACACUGGAACUGAAACACGGUCCAGACUCCUACGGGAGGCAGCAGUGGGGAAUAUUGCGCAAUGGGCGAAAGCCUGACGCAGCGACGCCGCGUGAGGGAUGAAGGUUUUCGGAUCGUAAACCUCUGUCAGAAGGGAAGAAACUACGUUGUGCUAAUCAGCAGCGUACUGACGGUACCUUCAAAGGAAGCACCGGCUAACUCCGUGCCAGCAGCGGC
rnacentral:rRNA from 1 species